GCUUUACUGUAGCCUGAUAUUGAAAUUCGGCACAGCUUGUACAGGAUAGGUAGGAGCCUUUGAAACGUGAGCGCUAGCUUACGUGGAGGCGCUGGUGGGAUACUACCCUAGCUGUGUUGGCUUUCUAACCCGCACCACUUAUCGUGGUGGGAGACAGUGUCAGGCGGGCAGUUUGACUGGGGCGGUCGCCUCCUAAAAGGUAACGGAGGCGCUCAAAGGUUCCCUCAGAAUGGUUGGAGAUCAUUCAUAGAGUGUAAAGGCAUAAGGGAGCUUGACUGCGAGACCUACAAGUCGAGCAGGGUCGAAAGACGGACUUAGUGAUCCGGUGGUUCCGUAUGGAAGGGCCAUCG
rnacentral:rRNA from 1 species